GGGCCCAUGGUCUAGUGGUUAUGACGUCUCCCUUACACGGAGAAGGCCGCAAGUUCGAAUCUUGCUGGGCCCA
rnacentral:tRNA from 1 species